CAGGUCAGAUCCUCUAAAUUCCACCGACUAUAAAUGAGAUGUAACUUUUCCGUCGUCAUUGAAAUUUCAUCAUUAAGUUUCACUGUUAAUUCUCGAAUUCAAGGUCUUCCACGACGUUUGGUUUUAGUUUUCUCUUUUCUCAUUUCAAUCGUAUGUCCCUAAUUUCUUCAACUAUAAAUAAGGAUGUAGACUACUGGGAAUCUCACUGCUUCACUUGAUUCAACCAUACUACUUCUUUUACAUACAAGACCCUCGACAAUGGCUUGGCGGUUGAUUACAAGGGGAAUGCUUACGUCACCAACUCAGCCAAAAACUUUAUCUGGAAAGUGGAUCAUGACUCCGUAUCUUCGAUCUUUUCCAGAUCGUCGUUAUCUAACUCGCAGCCGGUGGUGGCUGACGCGGACGCAAGCUUUUGCGAUUUCAGUUUGAACGUGAUUUUGUACAACAUCGAAGGAUAACUCUUGCUGGUCUUGGUGGUGAGAGCAACACAUGAAAGAUGUUUAAGGUCGAGGAAGAAACCAGGACGGCGAGGAUUGUGUUGCUGAAUGGAGAUCUGGCUGCGGCAGAUGGGAUUUUGAGGAGACAGAGAGAGAAACGGUUGUGGUGGUGUCCGAGAAGAAGCUUUGGUUUGUUCAGAGCCAAGAUAAUAUGGAUAUCAAAAAUCAGGGUUUCUUGGUGCGUCGAAGAUGGUUUGGUUGGUUCAAUUAUUAGCUAACUCGGUGAACAUGGGCUUGCAAAUCUUUCACGUGGGAGAAAGACAACCAUUUGAACCUGUUUACAUGGAAGCAACUGGUGACCGGUUUAAGGAUCUGGAUCGAGAAGACAUAUAUUGGCAGAGAAAAAAUAUUAACCUACCAGGAUUAUGUCUAAGCGAUGCUGAGAAAAAUAAAGGAGCCAUAUUGGAGAUUGAGAAAAUAUUGAAAAGUAAUGGAACUUCUAUGCAUUGUGUUCUUUGCUUAAUUGUUACUCUAGAUGGUAAGGAUGGUGAGUUUUAGUUUAGCG